rnacentral:rRNA from 1 species
UACGGGGGGGGCAAGCGUUGUUCGGAAUUACUGGGCGUAAAGGCUCGUAGGCGGCCAACUAAGUCAGACGUGAAAUCCCUCGGGCUUAACCGGGGAACUGCGUCUGAUACUGGAUGGCUUGAGGUUGGGAGAGGGAUGCGGAAUUCCAGGUGUAGCGGUGAAAUGCGUAGAUAUCUGGAGGGAACACCGGUGGCGAAGGCGGCAUCCUGGACCAAUUCUGACGCUGAGGAGCGAAAAGCCAGGGGAGCAAACGGG